rfam:Schistosoma rodhaini strain Burundi genome assembly, scaffold: SROB_scaffold0000164
AUCCAGCUGACGAGUCCCAAAUAGAACGAAACGUGUGUCCUGGAU